UGAUAAUGGUCAACGGGGCCUAUACAUGGACCCCAUGCUUACAAAAAAGCACAGCUGACGUUACACCUUCAAGUAAAAUCAAGAAAAGCAAAAAGCCCAAUACACUUUUCCCCUCUCACACACUCCCAUCUCGAUCUGACUUUGCUACAAACAUAGAAAACCAAAAAAACUCAAUUGGCACAGUGAAAUAAAAAUAAACAGGUGGGUGAUUAGGUAUGUUAAUUAUGUGUAGGGGUGUUUGUUUGGUAGUUAGUUAAUUAUUGUGAAUGGGAAAAAAUAUCUUUUUGAUCUAAUCUUGAUUUUCUCUUUGGUGAAAUUUCAGCUUCCUUUUUUUUUUUUGAGUUGGGAAUUGCCAUUUGACUCUAUGAGCAAAGAAAGGCCACCAGAGCCUCUGGAUUUCUUUAUUUGGACUGUUGAGGUAAUGAGAUUCUUCACUAAUUUUGAUUCAUCCAUAUUCCAGAUCUCGGGAGUAGCUUUGAUACCAUGAUUUUGUAAUGGAGUUUUAUGAUUACUGGAUGUAGAAUUUUGUUGUUUCUUUCUGUGGCUCUUUCGUCUCUCUACCUACAUGAUUUAGUGGUAAGGCUUGCGUACACUCUACACACUCUACACUCGCUGACCCCACUUGUGGGAUUUCACCGGGUAUAUUGUUGUAUUGUUUGUAUUUUUUCUGUGUCUCACUGUUGUAGUUGUUGUAUAUGAUGGGUUUCUCUUGAUAAUCUGAUGAUUUGUAGGUGACAUAAGUUCAAAAAAUGCAAUUUGUUCAUCGUUUUUUUGCUCUUAUUGUUGAACUUUUGAGUUUGGUCUGUAUAAGGAAUAUGAUAAUUCUGCUAAUGCAUAUACAUUUGGGGACUGAUGUACAGAAUUCUAUAGGUUGGUUACUGGUGAAGGGAGUGAAAGAGAGUCUAUGUUCUUAAAGACAACUUCAAUCCUGAGUGUCCUUAAAGUACGUAAAUAUAUAUAUGUUUUUCAUCGAGUUAGAUAAAUUUUGAUACUUUUGAUUGAGAUGGAAUAACAAAAUAUGAUGAUAAAAUAAGUAUGGUUUUAUUUAUAUGCAAAAUAAGUAGAGGUAUGUUGUUGUUGUUGUUGCAAAAUAAAUAGAGGUAACUUUUUCCUUAUUCCCGUUAAGCUUGUAUCAAGUUCUACUAGAAGUGUAGUAAGAAAAUCUUGAAAGAAAGAGAGAUGAGAAAAUAUUGGAGAACUGAAUGUUGGGAAACACUAUUUUGAAAUUCCUCUUGGAGAAUUAGUGAGAUAUUCUUCUAGCUAUUUUAUUUUUAUCAAAAAAAUUCUCUUGGCUAUUUUAUGGGUUAACUAGAGUGUUGUCUCUAAUGUUUUGUUGUCAUUAUACACUUGAGAAUUGAUAUAGUAGGAUUACUCCUCCUAGUCCGUGAGGCAUGUUGGCUGGACCACGAAAAUCUCCAUCUCUAUGUUAUUUGUUGUCCUAUUCAGUCCAAAGAAUUAGUUAAUCCUGUCCAUGUUAUAGACAGACGAAUCAUAAGAACAUCACUGAAAGGGUAUACAAUAAGAUGAAAUGACCACAAAGAAAAUGAAGCGAAAUGCACAACAAGCCACAGUAAAGGAACACUUAAUGAAGUUCCCAAAGGUGUGGCGUUGUGGUCAAUGAAGUGGGUUGAGGAUCAUGAGGUCUCAGGUUCAAAACCCCAACGGAGGCAAACACACCAGGUGAUUCUUCCCAUCAAUCCAACUUCCAAGCCUUAAUGGAUAGAGUUACCCGGUACUAGUUUUGGUGGAAGGUUGUAAGCAAAACAUGAAAUUAGUCGAUGUGCAUGCAAGGUAGCCAAGACACCACAGUUGUUAAAAAAACAAAACACUUACUGCUUUGGAAAGUAAUGAAAUCUUUUCUAGCUCCUCUCCUACAUAAAAUAGCAAAGUCAUCCAUCCAUUGUGCGACGUUUAAGGAUUGAAGGCUUUUGUAUUAUUUAAAAGUAUAUAGGUUGUUCACUUCACGACUCUCUUUAUGGAUCCAUUUAUAUGACCAUGGCUGAUUAGCAACUUCAUUUAAGGUUGAUGUGUGGGCAUACUAGGUGUGAUAGGAUCAAGAAUGAACUUAUUUGAGAUAAGGUGGGAGUUGCCUCCGUGGUGGAUAAGAUGAAAGAAGCGAGAUUGAGAUGGUUUGGACAUGUAGUGAGGUUAGGUGCAGAUGUCCUUGUGAGGAGGUGUGAGAGGUUCGAUAUAGUAGGUAUGAGGAGGUGUAGAGUUAGGCCAAAAAAGUAUUAGGUAGAGGUUAUUAGACUAGACAUUGUGCAUAUUCAGAUUACUGAGGACAUGAACUUAGAUAGGAGGAUGUGGAGGACGCGUAUUAUAGUAUAAGGUUAGUUGGGUAGGAGUGUUGUCGUACACUAUAUGGUAGCUUAUGGUUAUAGUAGCUUAUGAUAUCUAUCAUUGUUAUUGUUAUAGUGUUUUGAUUAUCGCACUAUUUUUGUGAUGAUUAUUGUUAUUCUUGGUAGAUUUUGCAUUGUUCCCUUGUUAACUGCUAUAUUUUCUUUAUUGUUUUCCUUUUCUUUGUACUUAAAUUUGCUACACUUGAAUCUAAGGUCUUUCGAAUCAACCUCUCUACCUCCCGAGGUAGUGGUAAGGUCUGCAUAUACUUUACCUUCCCAGACCUCACGUGUAGGAUUAUACUAGGUAUGUUGUUAUUUAUCCCAUAUAGUACAUAUUGUAGCUAGCGGGACCUUUUUUCCUUUUGCACACAAAGGCAGAGCUAGGAUUUGAAGUGAUUAAAGAACGUGUAUCGAUAUUCAACAUAUUUUUAAAAAG
rnacentral:lncRNA from 1 species